CCUACGGGGGGCAGCAGUGAGGAAUAUUGGUCAAUGGCCGGAAGGCUGAACCAGCCAUCCCGCGUGCAGGAUGACGGCCCUAUGGGUUGUAAACUGCUUUUGUACCUGAAGAAACCUGUUUACGAGUAGACAGUUGCCGGUAAGGUAUGAAUAAGCAUCGGCUAACUCCGUGCCAGCAGCCGCGGUAAUACGGAGGAUGCAAGCGUUAUCCGGAUUCAUUGGGUUUAAAGGGUGCGCAGGUGGGGAAAUAAGUCAGUGGUGAAAUACUGCCGCUUAACGGUAGAAUUGCCAUUGAUACUGUUUUUCUUGAGUAUGGUUGAGGUAGGUGGAAUGUGUUGUGUAGCGGUGAAAUGCAUAGAUAUGACACAGAACGCCGAUUGCGAAGGCAGCUUACUAAGCCAUUACUGACGCUGAGGCACGAAAGCGUGGGGAUCAAACAGGAUUAGAUACCCUGGUAGUC
rnacentral:rRNA from 1 species